GGGGCUGACCUGGCUUCGACGAAGGUACGGAGUCGGAACAGUGCACGCCGAGCACCAGUUCGCUCGUAAAUCCACUGGAAACAAAGUAACUGCGAACGACUCUUCGUACGCCCUCGCCGCUUAAAACCGGUGAGCUUCGCAACAGUUGGCCGAUGGGCUGGGUCUGAGGGGUAACCUGAAGGCUGCGAAGUCAUACACAUUGGCUCGUCCUGAGUUGGGUCACUCUUCACAGGAUCAAAUCUAGUGAAUCGAAAAGUGGGUAGCGUGCUGCUGCGCGACCCGCCGAUUUAAAACCAAAUCAGCCAGCUAAGCGUGUAGAUCUGCCCGGCGAUGGUUUUCGGACGGGGGUUCGAUUCCCCCCAGCUCCACCA
rfam:Rhizobacter sp. Root404 contig_3, whole genome shotgun sequence.